rfam:Neotoma lepida isolate 417 scaffold_802, whole genome shotgun sequence.
GUGUGGCUCAGUUGGUAGAGUGCUUGCCUUGUAUGCAUGGGGUCCUGGGUUUGAUCCCCAGCAC